rnacentral:rRNA from 1 species
UACGAAGGGUGCAAACGUUGCUCGGAAUUAUUGGGCGUAAAGCGCACGUAGGCGGCUUAGCAAGUCGGAAGUGAAAUCCCUCGGCUCAACCAAGGAAGUGCUUUCGAAACUGCUGAGCUUGAGUACUUAAGGAGGAUCGGACGGAAUUCCCGGUGUAGAGGUGAAAUUCGUAGAUAGUCGGGAGGAACACCAAUUGCGAAGGCAGCUCGCUGGGACGUCACUGACGCUGAGACGCGAAAGCGUGGGGAGCAAACAGG